rnacentral:rRNA from 1 species
GACGAACGCUGGCGGCGUGCUUAACACAUGCAAGUCGAACGGAAAGGCCCUGCUUUUGUGGGGUGCUCGAGUGGCGAACGGGUGAGUAACACGUGAGUAACCUGCCCUUGACUUUGGGAUAACUUCAGGAAACUGGGGCUAAUACCGGAUAGGAGCUCCUGCUGCAUGGUGGGGGUUGGAAAGUUUCGGCGGUUGGGGAUGGACUCGCGGCUUAUCAGCUUGUUGGUGGGGUAGUGGCUUACCAAGGCUUUGACGGGUAGCCGGCCUGAGAGGGUGACCGGCCACAUUGGGACUGAGAUACGGACCAGACUCCUACGGGAGGCAGCAGUGGGGAAUAUUGCACAAUGGGCGGAAGCCUGAUGCAGCAACGCCGCGUGCGGGAUGACGGCCUUCGGGUUGUAAACAGCUUUCGCCUGUGACGAAGAAUGAGUGACGGUAAUGGGUAAAGAAGCACCGGCUAACUACGUG